rnacentral:ncRNA from 1 species
GAAAAAGUGAUGAUCGGAAGGAGUACUGUAUUUGGAACCAUCAGAGAGGAUUUGUCAUUGGCUGUAAGCAGAUCUUGGGAAAGAACAUGGGAAUGCAUCCGUGAACUGAUUGAGCGAAAAGAAGAGUAGCUGAAUCCGUAAAGCAGGCGUUAACUGUGUGAGUGAGAAUGCCAUUUUGGCAUUUUAAUUAAGAGUGGAACCGCGGAUAGAACUUCGUCUCUUUU